GUGGUGCGUGAAAGGAGAGAAGGCUAGCACUCCCGUUGACGAGGAUGGAAGAGGCCCUCGGGCCUGACAACACGCAUAUGGUUAAGGCAUUGCCAUCUGCUUCGUGGCCUCUAAUCACUGUUUUUU